rnacentral:rRNA from 1 species
UCGGUGGACAGGUGGUGGCAUGGUUGUCGUCAGCUCGUGUCGUGAGAUGUUGGUUAAGUCCCGCAACGAGCGCAACCCCUAUUGUUAGUUGCCAUCAUUCAGUUGGGCACUCUAGCGAGACUGCCGGUAAUAAACCGGAGGAAGGUGGGGAUGACGUCAAAUCAUCAUGCCCCUUAUGACCUGGGCUACACACGUGCUACAAUGGUUGGUACAACGAGUUGCGAGUCGGUGACGGCGAGCUAAUCUCUUAAAGCCAAUCUCAGUUCGGAUUGUAGGCUGCAACUCGCCUACAUGAAGUCGGAAUCGCUAGUAAUCGCGGAUCAGCACGCCGCGGUGAAUACGUUCCCGGGCCUU